UACGUAGGGUGCGAGCGUUGUCCGGAAUUACUGGGCGUAAAGGGCUCGUAGGUGGUUUGUCGCGUUGUCCGUGAAAACUCACAACUCAAUUGUGGGCGUGCGGGCGAUACGGGCAGACUGGAGUACUGCAGGGGAGACUGGAAUUCCUGGUGUAGGCGGUGGAAUGCGCAGAUAUCAGGAGGAACACCGGUGGCGAAGGCGGGUCUCUGGGCAGUAACUGACGCUGAGGAGCGAAAGCGUGGGGAGCGAACAGG
rnacentral:rRNA from 1 species